CAGUUUUAUUAUUAUAUCAACAUUUUGUUCGUAUUUCCAUUUCAAUCACCCUGUUUAUAACUUUUCUAUUCUGUGGUAGUCACCUUUUGUAACCUUCACAUUCGUUUAUUUCCGUACCUGCCCGUUUUAAUGUUGUAUAUUCCUAUUAUUGGUCUAAAAGCCAAUUUCCGCUUUAGAUAACCUAUGUAAUUUGAUACCGUAACCAUAUAUGGUAUUGUAAGCUUCGAUUGACCGCGUUAUUGGUCGGAGCAAAACUUCGUUGUUUCAUUGGGGCCGGAAAUGGAAACAUUCAGCGUGUUUUACUUGCUAACCCGAAGAGAACGGUCGUGCGGUUCAUCCUGAUUUAAGUGCUAAUUUAGUUCCUGUUCAUUUGUUUUCAACAAUUUGGCGAAAGCAUCUUUAAAAACAAGUGAACCAUCAUUGUACCUGCCAUUUCUUUUUGGGCAUGGUAACCAUUUAAUCCGAAAGGAGUUCUUCUAAAGGAACGUAAGCAUAAUUGUAAGUUCUCUGUGUGUUCGAAUCCACACUACCGUUAUUUCUAUUUUAGGGGACCAUUCUGACAACGAUCGUAGGAUAACUUCCAUUCACUUUCGUACGUUCACGAAGCUCUUUUAUUUUCCGUUGACUCUCUCCAUGUAGAGAGUUCACGUAUUGGGGUCAAGAACUACGAUCCGACUGUUUACCUGUGAAACGAAACUAUAGACCACAUUGUGUUGCGGAUAAGGGGGCAUAGGAAAGUAAAUCGACUAAGUACUGGAGUGCAGUGUGUACGAUCUAGCAUCAAACCAUUGAAAUAACUUAAUGGCCGAGUCGUACAUAUCUUGAAGCCGCUACCUUACUUCCGACACUUUGUGUAACACUUAGAGCAGCAUUUGUCAUUCAACGUGCAACCAUAUACCAGGA